UACGUAGGGUGCUAGCGUUGUUCGGAAUCAUUGGGCGUAAAGCGCGUGUAGGUGGUUAGGUAAGUCGAAUGUGAAAUCCCUCGGCCCAACCGAGGAAGUGCAUCCGAAACUACCUAGCUAGAGGACGGUAGAGGAAGGUGGAAUUCCUAGUGUAGAGGUGAAAUUCGUAGAUAUUAGGAGGAAUACCGGUGGCGAAGGCGGCCUUCUGGGCCGUUCCUGACACUGAGACGCGAAAGCGUGGGGAGCAAACAGG
rnacentral:rRNA from 1 species